rnacentral:rRNA from 1 species
AUACGGAGGGUGCAAGCGUUACUCGGAAUCACUGGGCGUAAAGCGCGCGCAGGCGGCUAUUUAAGUUGGAUGUGAAAGCCUACGGCUCAACCGUAGAACUGCAUCCAAAACUAUUUAGCUAGAGUGUGGGAGAGGAAGAUGGAAUUAGUUGUGUAGGGGUAAAAUCCGUAGAGAUAACUAGGAAUACCAAAAGCGAAGGCAAUCUUCUGGAACACUACUGACGCUGAGGCGCGAAAGCGUGGGGAGCGAACAGGAUUAGAUACCCUAGUGUCC